rnacentral:tRNA from 1 species
GAAGGUAUAGCUCAGUGGUAGAGUGCAUGCCUACCAUACAUGAGGUCUUGGGUUCAAUUUGGUACUUCCA